rnacentral:lncRNA from 1 species
AUCGUAGCUACAUCAUUACAGUCAUCUUUGUUGACUUCGUACUGACGCGGAGACUCACACACACUUCGGGCAACAGUACAAAAAUUGCUCAAAAUUUGGGAACAGGCGCGCUCUUUAUUUUGGAAGAAAAAGCUUAAAUGGCGAUCGUUGUUCACUCAUGGAGCCGCAGCCUAUACCAAAGGGGCCGAACAAGUAGAGGAGGCGCUUACUGUGAGGGAGAAGAGAGGAAGAUUUUCCUAAAAGCCAACAGGUAAUCUUUUUUCAAUCAAAACACAUACAUAUUUUUGUUUUUUUUUUUUUUUUUUGUGUGUGUGUUAUUUACUCCCUAUUUCGUAGCAACUUUUCAUCUUAAAAAAUUAAUUUUUUAUUCGUUAUUUCACUACCUAAUUGAGCCUUUAUUGUGGAUUGCUGAUGAGACUAGAUCUUGAUGCGAAUUUAGGAUUUAAUUCAGAGUAUAAAGAUAAAGUAAUUUUACCAAAUCAAUGCUUUUCUUUAGAUUAUGGUGUUAUAAUUUUGUAGUGUACCGUGAUUACUUGAAGCUUGGAAGAUGUCAAACUCCGAUUUUCAUAGCUUUCCAGUUUAUUUCAUUCCCACAUAGAAGAAGGAGAUUUAGCCCCCGUUUGAGCCUCAUUAUUUAUCAAAUUAUAAUCUACAAAUAAUGGGUCAAACGGCCCCUUAAGAGAUUUUAUGUGAAGUCGGUUUUUCUCCAUUUUGGAUUAUGAGUACCUAAAAAGUGAAAUUCCAUGGUUACUUUCAUUUGUUUUGAAUCUGAUUUCAAUUAUUAAGUUACCGUUUGAGAAUUAAUUUUUUGACCGUUAGAAGAAAAAUGAGGUCCAUAAGAGAAUAAGUCAAAAAUUACGAUUGUGAUAGUAAAAUUAUAUUUUGACAUAUAUUAACAUGUAGAUAAAUUUUUUUUAAAAGAUCUAUAAUUUUUUUAAGCGUGAAUAAGAAAAAAAAUUAUUUGCAUGUAUGAAUUCUUUUCGAUCGACAGUAACAACUAGUCGUAAAAGCUAACAGUUGGCAAGUACAUAGUUGGCCGUCAACGGUUGGCCUAAUCGGUUGUCAAUUUUUUCAAAUAAAUUUAUGUUACCACUGUGGUUGAGCAUCUCAAUUUUUAAUUAUUUUUUCUUAUAAUUAAAACUUUGUUUUAUCUUGUAGAUAUGGUUGUAAUCCCGGUUUGUUAUUUUGGUGAUUUUGAAUUGGAUGGAAAUGAUCGAUGGGUAUGGAAAUGGACAAGUAAUAUACGUGGUGGUAUUCCAAUUUCCAUAACAAAGAGUACAUCGUACGUGGAAAUGUACUAUGAUUUACAAAAUAAGCUGAAUGUCGAUUCCUCAGAGUACGAUAUGGAACUAAGAUUUCAAUUUAACGAGCAUUCAUCCAUUUCAAUUCCACCUAUGAAGGUUACUUCUAAUACUGAAGUGAAUCAUCUAUUUGAAUUAAACAAAAUGCACACGACGCCUCUUUGUGUGACUUUAAUGAAGAAGGAUGUCGUCAAAUUUGAAGCGGAUGAUGAUUGUUAGUAAUAUAUGUACAAUGAAACCUGAAGCCUUGGCUUUAAUAUAUGUAUAUAAUGCAAUUCCACAAGCUCUUUUUAAUUGUUUAACUAAGGUAUGUAUUUAUAGAAAAAAAUUAUGCAAAAUCGUUGUUCAACUUGAUUUCCACCGAAGAGUUUAGAUUGGUUUCUACUAAAGAAUUCAAAUUAGCCCUCGUUUGGCUCCUCAUUAAAAC